rnacentral:rRNA from 1 species
GAUGAACGCUGGCGGCGUGCCUAAUACAUGCAAGUCGAGCGAACAGACGAGGAGCUUGCUUCUCUGAUGUUAGCGGCGGACGGGUGAGUAACACGUGGAUAACCUACCUAUAAGACUGGGAUAACUUCGGGAAACCGGAGCUAAUACCGGAUAAUAUAUUGAACCGCAUGGUUCAAUAGUGAAAGACGGUCUUGCUGUCACUUAUAGAUGGAUCCGCGCCGCAUUAGCUAGUUGGUAAGGUAACGGCUUACCAAGGCAACGAUGCGUAGCCGACCUGAGAGGGUGAUCGGCCACACUGGAACUGAGACACGGUCCAGACUCCUACGGGAGGCAGCAGUAGGGAAUCUUCCGCAAUGGGCGAAAGCCUGACGGAGCAACGCCGCGUGAGUGAUGAAGGUCUUCGGAUCGUAAAACUCUGUUAUUAGGGAAGAACAAAUGUGUAAGUAACUAUGCACAUCUUGACGGUACCUAAUCAGAAAGCCACGGCUAACUACGUG